rnacentral:rRNA from 1 species
AGGGUAUUGGCCUACCGUGGCAAUGACGGGUAACGGGGAAUUAGGGUUCGAUUCCGGAGAGGGAGCCUGAGAAACGGCUACCACAUCUAAGGAAGGCAGCAGGCGCGCAAAUUACCCAAUCCUAAUACAGGGAGGUAGUGACAAGAAAUAACAAUACAGGACUUUUUGGUUUUGUAAUUGGAAUGAGUUAAGUAUAAACCCCUUUACAAGUAUCAAUUGGAGGGCAAGUCUG